AUUUAGUUCUAGUUUAUAGUUAGGUUAGUGUUAUCGUAAUCUGAAGCCUUCCAAGUGUUAAAAAUUCAAUGUCUAGUAAUACUGGGGGUUUAAUGCUAGGAAGAGUUCUAUUUCUCAAGGAAUUAGAGUUCCUUGGAUUUCCUGAUCUCGAGUUGCUAAUUCGUCGAGAGAUAACGCAAGAACAAUCUUCAGUAAUAUUUAACAUUCUACCUAAGUUUCAUUACAUACUAUAAAUAAAAUUCUAUAAUUACUUCAA